UGUGGUUUGUUUCGAAAAAUAUAGUGUUUCAUUUUAAGUCACUAGCACAUUGCCAAUUUUUCAGAGUUGUUGGAGUGGAAUUAAUUUAACACGACAUGGCAACGUCGCACGUACAGUUCAGUCCCAAAAUUAUCAGAGAAAUAUUUUGAUGUGUUUGUAUCCAUUUGCACAAAAUUGGCAACACCAGAGUUUGUGUUUUUUAAAAUGUGCCUUAAAAUGUAGACAGUUUAGUAAAUAUUAUUUUAAAGAUAUGGAUGUGGUAACAGCCGGUAAACAGUAAACAGUGCUACGUGUUGUUACUUUAAGGGGGACUUCUGUAAAUUUUAUUUUCAUUUUGAUAAGAAGUAGUGCGAAGAAUCAUGAAUGGAAAGUUCCAAAGUUAAGUUUUUGCGUUGAACUCUUGUCGUUCGAUAGCACAUGGCCGUGUCGUAAAAAAAGAAGCGUAGAAGUUGUCCCGAUUUGCCAAUAAAUAAUAAUGAAUGCGAUAAUAAUGACGGCAUCGCCUCCAAUAAGUCUACUUUCCCAGUAAUAAUAAAUUUUAUCAAUGGAUAGUUGAAAUGACGAAUGACGAAUCACUUUCGUGUUGUAAUGGCUUAUAAAAGUUGUGUUGAACACUUUUCAAAUAUCAGACGAACUGACUUCGGAUAGAUUGAUGUAGCUUUGAACUUGUGACCUUAAGAUAAUUCACUAUCAAUUUAAUUGAGUAUAUACCAUCAUAACUUAUUCCCUUUGUUUAGAUGGUAAAGUGAAGCUGUAAAUAUGGAUCGAUUUUUCAUCGCUUUAUCAAUCAUUAUUGUGUUCAAUAUUUGUUUGUUAUACGCUGUGCCCGUCGAACAAGAGAGCAAUUCAACACAAAUCAAGGCAAUUUCAGCUAUUAACCAAUCGUCCAACGACACUUUGUGCUUGUAUGGCUUCGAGUACGUCAACGGCACGUGCAAAGAGAUUUUUCGAAAAUGAUCAGUGCACAUCGCAUGAAAUCCUCGGAUAAAAAAUUAUUAACUGUAUUGUGAUGUGCAUGUAUUAUUUAUUAUGUAAUUUAUUUAUUCCGUGUCAGGUUAUGUAAGUUUAAUUACAUAAUGUGUAUAUUAAUAAUGUGAUCGUUGACGUUAUAUACUGUUUAUAUAAAGUAGUUGUGACACUUUAGAAAUUAAUUUGUUUGUUUCGUGUAGGUUACACUUUUAAAUCGACGCAAAUCCCUCGUUUUGUUUAAAUUAAAUAUUAAAUAAAAUGCAGAGGUUUGCGUCACGUUAAUUAAAAUGUAAAUCCUAGUUUCUCACUGCUCGUUAUGAAUAAAAUCACCCUCCUCAUAUGUGUCAGGUUUUCAUUGCACCUAAUUAGUGAUUACCAGGAAAUGGACAUAAAUAGAACUAAAUAACGUGAUGGAAAACUACGAACAAUAUUAAAUAGCUAAACUAGGAGUUCAUAGAUAGUAAAACAGUGAACGAAAUUGUCUGAACGUCCCCACCAAUAAUUGGUUGACGUCACGUCAAAAUUUUGCUAGAGGAUUUUCCUUCAAGUUGGCAGCACUGCACACUACGGAAAUUUGAUUGGUUGAAAACCCAACGUCAACGGCGAACCGCAACGUCAGCGACAAGUUUAUAAAUCGACCUUUAUCAGCUUAGAAGAUAAAAUUGACUUGAUGACGUGGUUUCAAAAUUUUGCUCAUAGAUCUUGUCUAAAAUGAGUAAAAUAUUGUGUGUCACCAUAUUUUUUAGAAUUAUUUAUACAGGAUGUCUAACAAAAUUAAUGACGUUAUCACUUUUGUGAUAACGUCAUUAAUUUUAGUAUUUAUUUUAGUUUUAUGAGAUUAAAAUCAAGUCGUCAAUAUUCUAAAUUUUGAUUUUAGAAGGGAAUUGGUAGUUUGACCGUCCACUUGCGAUGGAACAUUCUGUACAUUGGCAUGUGUUAAAGACGGAUAAUAAAAGUGUACUUUUCUAAAUAUUAAAACCAAAAAGUAAUAAAAAUGGACAAUAUUUUGAAUUUAACAACGAGUAAUUUGUAAAAAAUCUGGUUUUUAAAUCAACAACAACUAUCUACGCAAUAGUCAUACUUAUUUAUUCCACGAAACCGCAUUUAAAAGAUACAGAAAUAUUUAUCUAUUGCUGCUAUGUAUGUAUUUUUUGGUGAACUUUAACCAGUGGAUCAUAGUGAUUCAUUUAUCGUCAAAUAAUCCUGGAAAAUUUAAACUAAAUUUCAUGAAAUAGAUUAUAAUGCAAUAAUGUGCAUUAUUAGGAAUGCAGUGGGUUAUUGUCUGUGAACUGCGAUAACACAAUUCAUAAAAAUAAUAACACAAAAUUUUCCAAUCAAGCAGUAUUGUUUACCGCGAUCGAUACACCUACCUAUUAGUCCGUUGACUUUAAUGUCAUUAGCACUGUUUACAUAUCAUUAAUUGCAAUACAAGGGAAAAAAAACAAUUUUUCAAACUUACUCAUUAACCACAUCAUUACUAUUUCCUCUAGGAAACAGCGGUUUUACGAGAUUAGCACUCUAUAAUUUGCACUUAAUUCAAUUAUUACAUUAAUUCAGGAACACGAACCACAUUGAUUUUAUGUUCCUGUUUUAACCAGAUAAGAAGUUUUUUAAAUAAUUAGUCCCCGCAAAACCGUUAAUAUCUUCUACGAGUUUAUUGAGCCCACAUCGUUCGGCGUCAUGAUUUCUAAAAUCCUUUGCUGUCUCAUUAUUUUUUUGUUUGGAUAUGUGAUAACCACAUUUUCGAUGCCAGUGGCGUAUGUGAAAAAGCACCCUUGUCCUCCUGGGGAGGUGAUGAUUCAUCCGGGGAUCUGCAGGGAGGUGAACUAUUUCUACGACGAGGAGUACAAUUAUAAGUAGUGAAGCCGUGUUUCGCUUUCAUAGGACUGUUUUAUAAUCGCAAGUUUUGUCAGCUUUUGUACUAAUAAUUAUGAUCUUGUAGUUAAAUUAAAAUAAAAGUGUGGUAUAGGGGA